rnacentral:rRNA from 1 species
UACGGGGGGGCAAGCGUUGUUCGGAAUUACUGGGCGUAAAGGGCUCGUAGGUGGCCAACUAAGUCAUACGUGAAAUCCCUCAGCUUAACUGGGGAACUGCGUCUGAUACUGGAUGGCUUGAGUUUGGGAGAGGGAUGCGGAAUUCCAGGUGUAGCGGUGAAAUGCGUAGAUAUCUGGAGGAACACCGGUGGCGAAGGCGGCAUCCUGGACCAAUACUGACACUGAGGAGCGAAAGCCAGGGGAGCAAACGGG